rnacentral:lncRNA from 1 species
ACCCACAAUGUACAAGGCACUUAUUUUCAGUAUGAUGCACCUGGCACUGCCAAAAUCAUACUCAUUUAGGAUAGACACAAUUACUAGCUAGGAAAACUGAGGCACUGAGCAGUUAAUCAACUUGCCCCAGGCUCCAUAGAUAAACAGUCAGUAUAGAGCUGGGGUCUCAACACAGCUGGCUCCCUCCAUAGUGUGGGCUUAUAGCCACUGGCUGUCCCACUACCCUUGUCCAGGCACGGCUCUCUGGGGUGCAGUGUGUGCCUUUGGGCUACAGUUGAAUGACCAGUUGCCUCUUCCAGGCUGGCUCCCAUACCUCUCCUGGCAACAGCUUCUUAAAUCCCAGAAACUGAAAACAGUGUGGUAAAUGGGCCUUGGAGAAUGGAGGCAAGGGUGUGGUGCUCAGCACUUCUAGGUCACAACAUAGUCUGUGUUCCUGGCCCUCCCCUUGUAACAGAGGCACCUCCAUCCCUGGCUGAUGAGUUCCUGCAUCUCUAAUUUCUCCUCAGCCUGGACUGCAGAGGGUGAAGCCCUCCCAGGAGCUGACCAGGGAGCUGACCUAAAGGGCAGGCCAGCACGUGCUACAGGGACAUCUGAGAGAGGCUCAAGCUCUGCAGUCAGGUGUUUUUCCAUGGAUUCCUAGGCUCCCCUCCUGGACAGCACCAGGAAUGUGGCCUUCCAGGGUAGGGAAAGGGCAGACCUGGCUGAGCAGAGCCACACCCAGCCACACCCCAUGGGUCAAUCACUG